UACGAAGGUCCCAAGCGUUGUUCGGAAUCACUGGGCGUAAAGGGAGCGUAGGCGGCGUGGUAAGUCAGAUGUGAAAGCCCAGGGCUCAACCCUGGAAUUGCCUUUAAGACUGCAUCGCUUGAACAUCGGAGAGGUAAGUGGAAUUCCGAGUGUAGAGGUGAAAUUCGUAGAUAUUCGGAAGAACACCAGUGGCGAAGGCGACUUACUGGACGAUUGUUGACGCUGAGGUGCGAAAGCGUGGGGAGCAAACAGG
rnacentral:rRNA from 1 species